rnacentral:rRNA from 1 species
AUACAUGCAGUCGAGCGGAUCUUUGGGAGCUUGCUCCCAAAGAUUAGCGGCGGACGGGUGAGUAACACGUGGGCAACCUGCCUAUGAGACUGGGAUAACUCCGGGAAACCGGGGCUAAUACCGGAUAAUUCUUUUCUACACAUGUAGAAAAGCUGAAAGAUGGUUUCGGCUAUCACUCAUAGAUGGGCCCGCGGCGCAUUAGCUAGUUGGUGAGGUAACGGCUCACCAAGGCGACGAUGCGUAGCCGACCUGAGAGGGUGAUCGGCCACACUGGGACUGAGACACGGCCCAGACUCCUACGGGAGGCAGCAGUAGGGAAUCUUCCGCAAUGGACGAAAGUCUGACGGAGCAACGCCGCGUGAGUGAUGAAGGUUUUCGGAUCGUAAAACUCUGUUGUUAGGGAAGAACAAGUACCGGAGUAACUGCCGGUACCUUGACGGUACCUAACCAGAAAGCCACGGCUAACUACGUGCCAGCAGCCGCGGUAAUACGUAGGUGGCAAGCGUUGUCCGGAAUUAUUGGGCGUAAAGCGCGCGCAGGUGGUCUCUUAAGUCUGAUGUGAAAGCCCCCGGCUCAACCGGGGAGGGUCAUUGGAAACUGGGAGACUUGAGUGCAGGAGAGAAGAGUGGAAUUCCACGUGUAGCGGUGAAAUGCGUAGAGAUGUGGAGGAACACCAGUGGCGAA